UGCCUAAACCCAGAGUAUUCUCUGGACAUGGCACCAAAACCGGUGAAGGUUAGAAAGCUCGUCGUCAGAGCGCCUUCACCGGUUAUCUCCCGAAAGGGAGGUAGGUAGCCGAAAGGCUAUC
rnacentral:sRNA from 12 species